GGGCGGAGGCGUGCUUCCUCUGGUGGGCUGCUCUGGCUGCUCCAGCCCCUUGCGGGCCACGCAGCACAUGACUGGUGAUUGAGGUGCCCUGGUCUCCCUGCCUUCGAGUGUUGCUGGGUGGGCGUCUUAGAGACAGCCCACACUCCUGCACUUGGAAAGCGCUUUGGAGGUCACCCACCUAGGGCGUCCUGCUGGGUGUGACCUAACUAAGGCUGUAGACUUUGACUUUGGUCUGCCCGACCCCCUCCUCCAGGCACAAUGACAAUAAGACGUUCCUGGUGUGGAUCAACGAGGAGGACCACCUGCGGGUUAUCUCCAUGCAGAAAGGGGGCAACAUGAAGGAAGUUUUCACGCGAUUCUGCACUGGCCUCACUCAGGUCUGGCCUGGUGCUAAGGAGGGAGGGGGUCGGGGGGAUUUGAGUCCACAUUUCCCAGGGUGCUUGGGGCUUCCAGCUACAUUUUCCCUUAACUUUCCCUUCACCUUCAGAUUGAAACUCUCUUCAAGUCUAAGAACUAUGAGUUCAUGUGGAACCCUCACCUGGGCUACAUCCUCACGUGCCCAUCCAACCUGGGCACUGGGCUUCGGGCA
rnacentral:lncRNA from 1 species